rnacentral:rRNA from 1 species
CAGUAGCCACGGGAAUACGGAGGGUGCAAGCGUUGUCCGGAUUUAUUGGGUUUAAAGGGUGCGUAGGCGGCUAUUUAAGUCAGCGGCGAAAGACUCCGGCUCAACCGGAGCAGUGCCAUUGAUACUGGAUAGCUUGAGUGUUGGAGGGGUACAUGGAAUUGAUGGUGUAGCGGUGAAAUGCAUAGAUACCAUCAGGAACACCGAUAGCGAAGGCAUUGUACUGGCCAACAACUGACGCUGAGGCACGAAAGCAUGGGGAGCGAACAGGAUUAGAUACCCGCGUAGUCCCUGUCUCUUAUAA